rnacentral:tmRNA from 1 species
GGGGGUGAAAUGGUUUCGACAGGGAACCAGGGUGUGAGUGAUGCAUGUCGGAGACGCUUUUCCACUCCGUUAACAAGAGAGCAAACAAAAUUAAUUGCAAAUAACAAUUACUCCUUAGCAGCGUAAGCUGCUUUCGUUCAACCUCUUCGUGCCGUCGGGAGGGGAUUGGGCGUCGAAACAGUACGGAUGCUGCGGAAAGGAUUGCCGAUAAUUUCCGCUUAAGACUAUUGGCUGGGCUUUAGAGGGUCUGAUUGUCUUUACCUCAAAAGCCGAGACUUAAACGACAACUAAACAUGUAGAUUUGCUUGCAAUCGGUUUUUUGGACGCGGGUUCGAUCCCCGCCACCUCCACCA